AAGAGGAGGAGGAAGCCAGCCCUGCAACUUCAGAGAGCCCAGCUUUCUGAAGUCGGAAGGAAAUGCAAAGACCCUAUUUGUGGCUGCAGGAGAGGAAAAGAAGAGUCCCACAAGGAAACGACCGACAGAUGGCAUAAAUCUGGGACAAAGAGAUGCAGGAAAUUGGGAAAGACCUUGCGAUUAGCGGCAUACUGAUGAAUCCGUCAGUAGAACCCAAGACACUUCUGUCUCCCCACGCGUGUUUUAUCUCCUCAAGGAAGGUUGGCACGGCUAUGACACCCUUAUCUGAGGUUAGGUGACCUUGGUUGUGGCAUCUUUUGUAGUUGGGUUUUUGUAAAUCAGGAUGAAGGAGUCUGUGGCUGCUUUGGGAAAUUGAUGAUAAUUCUUUAUCAGUAAGGUUUCAAGCUGAAAUGUGUUUGUUAAUUUUUGUCCUAACCCCCUGUGGAUUGUGUCUGGGUUAUACAGCUAUGACAGUAUUGGGCACAGCUGGGCCCCUCUUUUCAUGAAGUGGCAGAGAACAUUACUAGAUAAGAAUUAAAGGCGUUGCUGAAGGGACUCCGACACUUGCACACUGGCUUCCCAGCAGGGCAUGGCUGAUGGGAGAACCUCUCCCUGCUUUUGUUGGGUGCAGAAAUGACAGGAACUUACUGUCUUAGUCACAGAAAACACAGCAAGAUCUCCCUGGCUCUGUUCAGUCCGAAGAAAUCCUGGUCCAUAUAGUACAAGUGUCUGUAAGACUAAGCAAGUUGUCACACAGACGAUUUUACAUCUUCAUAGUCCCUGAGUAAAGUCUCUUCUUAGUUGACAAUGACUGUCCCACAUAGAUAAUUUAGAAACAGAGAACUCCGAGUUCUUGCAAUUCUACCCCAAAUGCUGAUUUUGUCUUUUCUGCAUAUGAUAGCUACAGUGUUUUCUUUCUCCUGGUUCUGUGGUGAAAUCUUUUAAUCUGCUUUGUUUGCAUAGAAUGUUCUUUGCUGUAGAGAAUCAGUGUGACCUUUUGAGUACACCUCUUACAUGUAUUGAGCGGUGCCAUGACCAUGUGACAGAUCUGGGGCUGAGGGAGGGUGACAACCAUUUUGACUGAGUUAUUUUCAGUUGAACAGUAAUGAAGGCACACUUUAAAUUAUUUCAUCCCUGUGAUCCAGAUUUGAUUAUCUAGCUAAUAUCACUAGGGACAAUUGAAGCUUUAAUAAUUACACUCAGGGUCUUUAAAAAAAAAAGAAAAUUGUGUUUAGUACAUUCAUUCAUACACAGCCUUGGAGACUUAGCCUCCGAGAGCCUUUCUGACUGCCUGAGAAAUGAUCCUAAGAUUCCACCUUGAGAUCCAGUUCAGCUGAAACUAUUUCAAAUGAAACAAAAGCUCGCUAUAAAAUAUUAUCUCUUUUAGAAGGGUGGAACAGUUCUUAUUUGAAAGUGUAAAAAGCACAGACUGUAGUUGUUUUUUAUUUGUUUUUUUUUCUAAUUAUUAUUAUUCUUUGGGGCCUACCACACAGCUCCCCAAAAAUACACAGAGACUUAUUCUUACUUAUGAAUGCCUGGCCUUAGCUUGACUUGUUUCUAACUAGUCUACAUUUUGCCUCCAAGCGUGUUACCUUUCUUUAUUCUACAUGUCUUUCUUUCUUUCUUAUUCAGUGACUGGUUGUGAGUCUGUGCAUCUGGCUCUGGCAUCCUCCUCUCUUUCUCGUUUUCUCACUCCUUCCUCCUUGUUUCUCUUUUCUUACUUAUUCUCUCUGCUUGGCAGCUUUCCCUAUCCCUCUCCUGCCUAGGUAUUGGUUGUUUAGCUCUUUAUUAGACCAAUCAGGUGUUUUAAGCAGGCAAAGUAACACAGCUUUACAGACCUAAACAAAAGCAAUAUAAAAGAAUGCAACAUGGUCAAGUGGUGGUAGCAUUCGCCUUUAAUCCCAGCACUGGGGAGGCAGAGGCAGGCAGAUCUCUGUGAGUUCGAGGCCAGCCUGUUCUAUGAGAGCUAUUUCAGGACAGGCUCCAAAACUACAGGGAGACCCUGUCUCAAAAAACAACAAAUAAAUAAAUAAAUAAAUAAAUAAAUAAAUAAAUAAAUAAAUAUAAAAAAGUAAAAGGAAAGCAGAACACCUUUGCAUCAUUAAACAAAUGUUCCACAACAUAAACAAACACAACACAUCUGAAACUAAUACUCCCCACAACAGGGCGUUGGCUUCACCUUUUCUUGUGGAAGACAGCUUUAGAACUACUUCCUUGCAAAGAUCUAAGGGCAGGAUUCUUCCUCCCAGUAUGGGCUCCAGUAUGAAACAACACCAUUUUGAAGUUGCCCUGCAUUGUAGGCCAAGGGCUCAUCCUGUGGCCAAAUGCCAUAUAUAUAUCCGUGGAUAUAUAUAUAUAUAUAUAUAUAUAUAUAUAUAUAUAUAUAUCCGUGGAUUUCCAUAUCCUCAGAAACAAAUCAGCUUCCCAGAGAAGCUCAAAUCCUACAACAGCUCUGAUUUACAUAAACGCAGGCUAAGGAUGUGAUACUGUUUAGCAUUCUGGGUAGCAAACGGGGAAGAAGAAACUCAAUUGGAAACCACAGUUCUUUCAAUGUCAGAGUGAGAUACAUCAUCUAUCACAAACACAUGUCAUGACACAUGACCUCUGCCUAGGGGUUCCACACAGUCUGUGCGGUCCAAAAAGAAGUAAAUGAGUUUACUGACUCCCGGCUUUGCUUCAAGAAAGUAAGCAAACUACCGCUCAGGGCCCCACGGAUAACCCUCCCAGUGUUGGAGGACCCGAGACUGGAUGUAAGGUACCAUUGGCUACAUGGUUUCCAUUGGUUUUAAAAGAAAAAGUCCAAAGGCUUACAAAACUCUCGGGUUGGGGGAGAGUAUGCUGUGUGUCUUUUCCUGGGGAGACCUAGCAAACAUCUGUUCAUACCAGAUGGCAGCAAGGCGAACCAGAGACAAUUGUACCCAAGUCUAGCUAGGGGAACUUAGGAAGUUUAUUGGGGUUACUUAUGAGAGUGUGGGUGACUCAAAAGCCGUUGUAUUAUCUGAAGAUAAAAACCCACCCCAGCAUGAGUGAUAGUUCACAAACCUGCAGCCCUGAAGCGCCUUGUACAAUGUGCAGUUGGGUCCAUGCAAGAGAGUCUCUUCCUCCAGUCAAAUGCUGCCUAAAGGCUUGCAUGAGUACAGGAACGGGCGUGCGAAUCAUGGAACUUUCCCCAAGCCUCUGUAAAUCUCUGUAAUGUUCUGUGGAUUAUAUGCCUCCCUUCUCCUCCAGAAGAAAGUGUUUCAGUUGGGAAGAAAUGACUGUUCAACAAAGUCUAACCAUUUUUUCUUUGCUGACAAAGUAAAUUGUGAUCGGAAGGCUUUUCCAUGCUGGCAAGUUUUAUUCCGAUCUGUGGGUGGUUACCCAGGGGUACCCACUGUGUGAUAAGCCAUUAAGCCAUGUAUGUGUGAUUCAUAUAUUUUUCCACAGACUGAUUUGUUUCAGUUAAAAGGUUUAAAACAAAUACCCCCCCCCCCAUGGACAAUAUAAUUCUUUAAAAGUGUUAGAGCAGCAUUUUUUCUUAAUUAAAUAAAUUGAUAACUAUUAAAGAGGAAAACAGGAAACUUGGAUAAAAAGAAGAAAGCUAGAGAAAGGUGAUACUCAUCCCCGGUAUAAAACAAUGGGAACCCUCAGACCUGGGAAUUGCUACCACGCUAUUGGUGAACUGUUAGGUAUUACCUACUAUCCAGCACCUGAGAUGUGAACCCCAGGGUGCACAUCCACCACAGGAAGAGAGUUUCCUUUCAUAACAGCCAAGCACUGGAGACAAGGGGAAACAUCCAUCAGCAGAAAAUAUCAUAAAAUGUCGUUUAUCCAGUUUAGGAAUACCUUAUCACACCAUAAAUCAGUGGGAGUAAAAUAGAAAAGAAAUGCAUAUGCUCCCACAUAUUUUCCUUCAUUUUCUUUCUUUUCUUUCUUUCUUUUUUUUUUUUUAAGAGAGCUGGGAUCUGGUUCAGUAGGUUACAGCACUUGCCACUCAACCAUGAGGACCUGAGUUCUCAUCCCCAGAACUCACAUAAAUCCUGGGUCUAUGCACACAUAUCUGCCAUCUUCUGUAGUUGACUGUUUUUGAUUCUUUACUCUUUUUACUCUUUGGCUCUUUUGGGGGCCCCACCACCUAGCUCCCAAAUAAAUCACUUACACAAAAGCUUAUUCUUACUUAGGAACGCCCAGCCUUAGCUUGACUUAUUUCUAUCCAGCUUUUCUUAACUUAAAUUAUCCCAUCUAUCUUUUGCCUCCGAGCUUUUACCUUUCUCUAUCUCUGGAUAUCUUUUCUUUACUUCUUACUCUGUGGCUGGCUGGGUUGCUGGUGGCUGGUCUUUUCUCAUUCCUUGAUCUCUCUCUCUCCUCAGAUUUCUCCUCCUAUUUAUUCUCUCUGCCUGCCAGCCACACCUGUCCUUUCUCCUGCCUUACAAUGGGCCGUUCAGCUCUUUAUUAGACCAAUCAGGUGUCUUAGACAGAGUUAAACAAAUGCAGCAUAAAAGAAUGCAACACAUCUUUACGUCAUUAAACAAUGUUCCAACAGAAUAAACAAAUGUAACACAGCUUAAGAUAAUAUCCCACAACAAUCUUCACAUUCCUGCGGGAAAAUGGAAGGCACAGACAAGAGAGUCCCAUAGUACAGUGGAAGAACCGUAGAAGACCCUGUUUCAAAGAAGGCAGAAGGUAGUGACAACUGGAGUUGUCCCCUAACUCCUAUGUAGGAGGACUGGCAUGCACGUACAUUUAAACACAUAUAAAUUUUUUAAAAAUUUAAAAGUAUUCUCUACCAAUGCAUACUUAAGUAGUAAAACUAUAAUUCAAAAAGAAAGAAAAAUGUGGUAGGAAGAGCAGUUUAAAAAUAGGCAAGGGUGUCCCUGGGUCAUGGGUGUGGGAGAACUGGCCCUGCCUCUCGCCAGCUGCAGCACUCAGGACAGCAGCCCUGCACCCCUUGGGCAGCACAGUAGAGUUGGUCCUGCUGAAAUGGGUGCAGGUGAGCCGGCCCUGAGGGCACGAGGGCAUGAGGACUGGCUCUGCCCUUUGCUGUCUGAGGUACCAGGUGAGCUGGGGGGCAGUGCUGACCACCUCAGCUACCACCCAGGCCCAGAACCAGGGUUAUGAGUUAGCCCAUCAACACCCACCCCAUCCAUGAUCGUCAGGAACACGUGAAGGGGGAUGAACCUACAGAUCUGCAGGAUCUGCAAUGCACCAGGCAACAACAGGCUAUCCAAGAGGAGUCCCAGGAGGGCCCAAUAUCGGUAGUGUAGCAGAAGCCAGAAGCCCCAAACCGGAUCAAUGACUCAUUGCAAUGAGCGCUUGCAAGUAAAGACGCAUGGACUAAAGAGUACACUGUGUGACUCACUGUGACACGCUACAGCUUCCAUGGCAAGAUGUUUUGCAAGGGCAAAGGGCAGAUAGGAAGGGAUGGGGAGAUGAAAUCCACAAAGAAUCAAUAAAGCAGUUUUAAAAAUA